GCUCCGGCCGAGGUGCGGGAGGAGGGGCUUGGCGGGCGCAGGGCGGCUCCGGGCGGAAAGGCGCAGGGCCGGGGCGGACCUCCCGGCGCGGGGACAGGUCGGCCUGGGCGAGCCCGCGCCACUCCCUGCAACUUUCAGGGCUGGGGCUGGCAGGGACCCCCACCCCGCGGCCCGCGGGUCUCGGACGCUGCUUCCUGGCCGGACGGGACCGGCUCGGCCCCGCGCAGAGUCGCCGCGCACAGCGGGUUCCGAAGCCCGCGGCGCGGCCCGGCGAGGUGAGUCACCGCCGCACGGGGCCGCCAGGUGCGAGCAGGAGCAGCGGCGAGGAGGAGGCUGAGGUCCCUGUCCCUGCGCGCCCAGCCGGCGUGGCAUCUGUCCUGUCCAUUGAUUCGCUUCUCUUCAGGGAUAAGAAACCGGAACCGAGAUACGGGGGCCAGAGCAGUCCUUGGCUUAGCUGAAGCCUGCGCGUUUUCGCAGCUGUGGGGACAGCAGGCGGCCGUGCCGGCCCGGGCCGCGGCGGUCCUGUCUUCUGAAGGGGCUGCGCUCUCGACCACGGCCCGCGCCGCGUUUUCCUGGAGCUGCUGCCCGCACACCUGCCGGGCAGUUCUCAAAGUAAAUGGUGGCGACCUCAGAGAGCUGACUAGGAAUGGCCAGGCUGAGGGGCUUUGGACAGAUCUGUAAUUAAUUAAAGAAAUGAUUUAUGUUCAUUCCCCUUGUGGACAGGGUGACUAUGUUUAGGGUUCGCAGUGGCUUUGGGCGCUUCUCCGUCAUCAGCAGGAGUGAGAGGCAACGGCGGCUGCCUAGCGCCCAUCAUGUGGGUCAAAUAAUGUGUGGUUAUUAAACACGAUGGCAACAGAAAAGAACACACAGGGCAACCCCCAACCAAUAACUGUAACAUGUUAUCACAAUUUCCCCCAAAUGAAAAUGCUCCUGAAAUUAACCAAAGGCUCAACGUCGCUGUGGUGGAAAAAGCACCCAUUGAAAGCUACAGAAAGGCUGGCCCAACACAAGUGUGGUAUUGCACAGUUCUGCAAGUCACAAGUUCCACAGACUUCUCCGCUGGCUUCUCAUCUCCAGUUUUCCCAAGGCUGAAGUCAAGGUGCUGGCUGGCCAGCUGGGCCCAUCUCAGGAGGCUCUGGGAUUUGGGUGUGGACAACUUUGGGCGCCCAUUCUUUCAACCACAAGUUGACAUCAUCAACUGAGAAUAAGGAAGUGGAACAGAUGGGAAGUUGUAGAAAUAAUGGAAACAGUUUGAAGUAACCAUUCUGGACAGUAAGAAUGAGAACUGACCAGAGAAACUUUGUAAAAUUGACAGUGGCACUGAAGGCCAAAGUGGAGUCAUCCCCAGAGCGCUUUCUCCAGCCGCUCUCAGCCACCGGGCAGGGCACAGAGAGUGGGGACGUGGAUGAAAUAGAGUGACAAAGGCAAGAGGGAGUCCAGGGUAACGUCAGUGACACAAUGGACAAGGGAACAAAUGAUGUCAGGGUGAGAACCAGAUUGAGGAAGAGGCUGAUCAAUAAAGGAAAAGAGGAUCUAUGGCUUAGGGAUCCUGAAGACACUGCAGAACACAUGAACUAGGGGUGACAGGUGGAAGAAUGUGGAAGCAUAAGAGAUCAAGUAGUGACAUUAUUAUUUCUUAUUUUAAAAUACUUAAUUGACAAAUCAAGACUGUAGACAAAGUGUACAAUGUGACUUGACACAUGUACACAUUGUGUAAUGAUGAUCACAAUCAAACAUAUUCAUCACCACUCAUGCCGUAGAGAUCAGAUUCCUGAACUGGUUCAUCUUACCACUGGACAUUUAUACCCUUUGAUCGACAUCUCCCCAUUUCUCCCACCCUCAGCCCCUGCAACCACCAUUCUACUCUCUGUUUCUAUGAGUUUGACUUGUCUAGAUUCCAUGUAAGUGAGAUCAUACAACAUUUGUCUUUUGGUGUCUGGCUUGAGUCUGCGGGCGAGCUUGUGAUCCUACACUAGGGAUUCCAGCGAUGCGUGAGAAGGGUUAGGGAGCAAUAGGUAGAGUUGGGGGGAUCAGAGGAAACAGAGCAUCAUGGAAAGCAGCGUCUGGGGGCAGGGUAAGCAUGUCAGUGGAUAGGGAAGGUUUUCCCUUUGAACCCUCCCUCUACCUUUUCUGGAGCUGACAGUCUUGCUAGAAGCUGAGGCCAUGGGAGGGGUCACAGGUACUGUGACUCAAGGCUGGGAUGGAGCGGUAACGUAUUUAGCCUGAUAAAGUUCAGACCUGUCAAGAGGAGGAUAAUCUUGGCAGCGAGCGUAGUCUCAGUUUAUAUUUGCUUUUCCAUAUUUGGAGGCCAAAUUACUGUGAAGAUGCCUGCCCUUCCCCCUUCCUCUCCCAGAGUCUAAAGACUAACCUCCUCCACUUAGAUAUAUGUGAGAACUGUGACAAAUGUGGGAAGAGGGGCAGGAGGAAAAAGGUUAAAAAGUACUGAGCAGUUCUUCUUGGGGAAGACAGAGAGAUUCCAGUAGGCGCAGCGGUUGGAGGGCCAUGCUCUGCUGACCAAGAGCAGAGAGGGUCUGUAGGGACGACAUGCACGUGUGGAUGGGAUGGGUGGUCAGAGAGAACAGUACAGAUGCCCGCCACUCAGGGGGAGCUGCUUGGUUGAAACAUGGGGCUUGAACCGGAAGUGAGGGCUGUGCUAACCUCGGGCAUUCUAUGUGUGCUUGACUGGCUCACUUUGAGAUUUUUUGUUUUCACUGUAUGAUCCUCACAUCCACUAUAAAGGGGUCAGCGUUGGGGCCGCAUGAGACGUGGCAGAUACAGUUCUGAGGGUCCCCUGGAGACAGGGAGACGCACGCCUCGCAGGACUCAGCAGCCGCAGUGAAAGGAGAACUGCAUGUUGACAGCGAUUGAUUCCCAGAGAGACUCGCCAGGGCGGCGCUGCCUGAACUUGCCAGUUUCCCGAGGCUCACUCCGGUGAGAAGAGCAAAACACCCUCCUGCACACAGUUUGUUAGGACACUACGUAUGAUUAGAUCACCUUAUUCCAACUCGGCCUUGAACUGCAAAUUAAAACAGACUCUUUUUUUGUAAUUUCAAAUGCAAAGGAGGAUGAUGUUGCUGGAGGACCAGCUGUCUGCGGACCUGCCUUCUCAGCUGUUAACUCAUAAACUGAAAUGUCCGAGGAGUGCAAAGUCUGCCUGUUUACCCAAACCUUUUCUGUAACAAAGGGAAGCUAAUAAUUGUACAGUUCCGUGCUUUCCAUACGAAGUACCCAGUCAAUGACCUCAAACGUGUAAUAAAUACUCUGUCAAUCACCUUUACAACUUCUUGAUAGAUAAUAUGAUCAGGCAUAAAGAGACAUAAAAGAGGAGUAAUAAUAGAUUAAAAUCUUUGACUUCGCUUCAACCUCUUCAACUUUCCUAAGCUUGUUUUCAGACAG